AUUGAACGCUGGCGGCAUGCCUUACACAUGCAAGUCGAACGGCAGCACGGGAGCAAUCCUGGUGGCGAGUGGCGAACGGGUGAGUAAUGUAUCGGAACGUGCCCAGUCGUGGGGGAUAACGCAGCGAAAGCUGUGCUAAUACCGCAUACGAUCUAUGGAUGAAAGCGGGGGGAUCGCAAGACCUCGCGCGAUUGGAGCGGCCGAUAUCAGAUUAGGUAGUUGGUGAGGUAAAGGCUCACCAAGCCGACGAUCUGUAGCUGGUCUGAGAGGACGACCAGCCACACUGGGACUGAGACACGGCCCAGACUCCUACGGGAGGCAGCAGUGGGGAAUUUUGGACAAUGGGCGCAAGCCUGAUCCAGCAAUGCCGCGUGCAGGACGAAGGCCUCGGUGUAAC
rnacentral:rRNA from 1 species